rnacentral:rRNA from 1 species
UUCCGGUUGAUCCUGCCGGACCCGACUGCUAUCGGAUUGAGAUUUAGCCAUGCGAGUCGAACGUUCCCCUGUUGCGGGGGGCGUGGCGUACGGCUCAGUAACACGUAGUCAACCUGCCCUGGAGACCAGGAUAACCCCGGGAAACUGGGAUUAAUACUGGAUAGGUCAUCUCAUCUGGAAGGAGAGAUGGCUUAAAGGGGUGUGUGAGCUUCUUUCAUACAGCUGCUCCAGGAUGGGACUGCGACUGAUCAGGCUGUUGGCGGGGUAAUGGCCCACCAAACCAGUAACCAGUACGGGCCUUGAGAGAGGGGGCCCGGAGAUGGACACUGAGAGAAGGGUCCAGGUCCUACGGGGCGCAGCAGGCGCGAAACCUUCGCAAUGCGCGAAAGCGUGACGAGGUUAAUCCGAGUGGUUCCCGCUGAGGGAAUCUUUUGUUGGCUCUAAAAUGGCCAGUGAAUAAGGGGAGGGCAAGUCUGGUGUCAGCCGCCGCGGUAAUACCAGCUCCUCAGUGGUCGGGGCCGAUUAUUGGGCCUAAAGCAUCCGUAGCCUGUUCCGUAGGUCUUCUGUUAAAUCCAACGGCUUAACCCGUUGGCCUGCAGAAGAUACCGCGGGACUAGGAGGCGGGAGAGGUGGACGGUACUCCACGUGUAGGGGUAAAAUCCUUUGAUCCGUGGAAAACCACCAGUGGCGAAGGCGGUCCACCAGAACGCGCUCGACGGUGAGGGAUGGAAGCUGGGGGAGCGAACCGGAUUAGAUACCCGGGUAGUCCCAGCCGUAAACGAUGCGAGCUAGAUGAUCCAAUCGCAAAUCGCGAUUGGAGUGUCGCAGGGAAGCCGUUAAGCUCGCCGCCUGGGGAGUACGGUCGCAAGACUGAAACUUAAAGGAAUUGGCGGG